rnacentral:sRNA from 1 species
UUUUCCGUGAGCACUUGAAGCCUCAACUGUUUCUCAAAUUCAUCGUCAUAAACUCGAGAAAAUUGAAUCAUCCAUUGCUGGUGGUAAUCAACAAUGGAUGAUGGCUUGUACAAAGCGACACGAGAUGUAGCUUCAGAGAUCUUU